GACGAACGCUGGCGGCGUGCUUAACACAUGCAAGUCGAACGGAAAGGCACUGAUUUUGUGGGGUGCCCGAGUGGCGAUCGGGUGAGUAACACGUGAGUAACCUGCUCUUGUCUUUGGGAUAACUUCAGGAAACUGGGGCUACUCCCGGAUAGGAGCCGCUGCUGCAGGGUGGGGGUUGGAAAGUUUCGGCGGUUGGGGAUGGACUAGCGGGUUAUCGGUUUGUUGGUGGGGUAGUGGCUUACCCAGGCUUUGAACGGUAGCCGGCAUGGGAGGGGGACCGGGCACAUUAGUACUGAGAGACGGCGCAGACGGCAACGGGAGGCAGCAGGGGGGAGUAUGGCACAGUGGGAGCAAGUCGGAGGCAGCGACCCUGGGGGCGUAAAGACGGCUUGUGGGUAGUGAACCGCUGUCGCCUGUGACGAAGCGUGAGUGACGGUAAUGGGUAAAGAAGCACCGGCUAACUACGUG
rnacentral:rRNA from 1 species